AAUGGUAUCAGUGGUAGGGGAGCGUUCUAAGGACAGUGAAGUCAGACCGGAAGGACUGGUGGAGUGCUUAGAAGUGAGAAUGCCGGUAUGAGUAGCGAAAGACGGGUGAGAAUCCCGUCCACCGAAUGCCUAAGGUUUCCUGAGGAAGGCUCGUCCGCUCAGGGUUAGUCAGGACCUAAGCCGAGGCCGACAGGCGUAGGCGAUGGACAACAGGUUGAUAUUCCUGUACCACCUCUUUAUCGUUUGAGCAAUGGAGGGACGCAGAAGGAUAGAAGAAGCGUGCGAUUGGUUGUGCACGUCCAAGCAGUUAGGCUGAUAAGUAGGCAAAUCCGCUUAUCGU
rnacentral:rRNA from 2 species